rfam:Triticum aestivum genome assembly, contig: Triticum_aestivum_CS42_TGACv1_scaffold_031805_1BL
UUAAUACUCCCUCCGUCCAGAAUUACUUGUCAUUAAAAUGAAUGUAUUUAAAACUGAAAUACAUCUAGAUACACCCAUUUCAAUGACAAGUAUUUUCGGACGAAGGGAGUAACUA